GAACCGAAACAAGUGCCUGGUAGAUGCCCGAAAGAGGAGCACAAGGGGAGUGACGACCAGCCAAGUGCCCCACCAGCCGUAGCCAAUGCGUCGUCCAAUCAUCAGCUGAAGGUCCUGCACAGUUCGACCAGCGCCUUCAAGGAAAAAAACCCCAUUUCCUAGAUCCCUGUGCACCGUCUACUUACAUCCGUCCCAAAGAUGAUUGUUGCCAAGAAGGAAAUGAAACAUAUGAAGAAAGUGACCCAGCCUCUGCGACCACGCAACUCUGCAAAUUCGUCUAAGAUGCACAGUACUGGAGUCUCUAAAUAAGCAAAC